rnacentral:rRNA from 1 species
GAUGAACGCUGGCGGCGUGCUUAACACAUGCAAGUCGAACGGAAAGGCCCUGCUUUUGUGGGGUGCUCGAGUGGCGAACGGGUGAGUAACACGUGAGUAACCUGCCCUUAACUUUGGGAUAACUUCAGGAAACCGGGGCUAAUGCCGGAUAGGAGCUCCUGCUACAUGGCGGGGGAUGGAAAGUUGCGGCGGAUGGGGAUGGACCAGCGGCUUAUCCGCUUGUUGGUGGGGUAGUGGCUUACCAAGGCUUUGACGGGUAGCCGGCCUGAGAGGGUGACCGGCCACAUUGGGACUGAGAUACGGCCCAGAGUCCUACGGGAGGCAGCAGUGGGGAAUAGUGCACAAUGGGCGGAAGCCUGAUGCAGCAACGCCGCGUGCGGGAUGACGGCCGUCGGGUUGUAAACCGCUUUCGCCUGAGACGAAGCGUGAGUGACGGUAAUGGGUAAAGAAGCACCGGCUAACUACGUG